AGGCAGCAGUAGGGAAUCUUCCGCAAUGGGCGAAAGCCUGACGGAGCAACGCCGCGUGAGUGAUGAAGGUCUUCGGAUCGUAAAACUCUGUUAUCAGGGAAGAACAAAUGUGUAAGUAACUGUGCACAUCUUGACGGUACCUGAUCAGAAAGCCACGGCUAACUACGUGCCAGCAGCCGCGGUAAUACGUAGGUGGCAAGCGUUAUCCGGAAUUAUUGGGCGUAAAGCGCGCGUAGGCGGUUUUUUAAGUCUGAUGUGAAAGCCCACGGCUCAACCGUGGAGGGUCAUUGGAAACUGGAAAACUUGAGUGCAGAAGAGGAAAGUGGAAUUCCAUGUGUAGCGGUGAAAUGCGCAGAGAUAUGGAGGAACACCAGUGGCGAAGGCGACUUUCUGGUCUGUAACUGACGCUGAUGUGCGAAAGCGUGGGGAUCAAACAGGAUUAGAUACCCUGGUAGUCCACGCCGUAAACGAUG
rnacentral:rRNA from 1 species